GUGGGCUAUGGUGACAUUUACCCACAGACGUUGCUUGGAAAGAUUGUAGGUGGACUCUGCUGCAUUGCAGGUGUUCUUGUCAUUGCCCUACCAAUCCCCAUCAUUGUAAACAAC
rfam:Oreochromis niloticus linkage group LG9, whole genome shotgun sequence.